GGCCUAUUAGUUAAGUUGGUUAAAGUGUCGUGCUAAUAACACGAAAGUCGUAGGUUCGAAACCUAUAUGGGCUA
rnacentral:tRNA from 1 species